GCUUAACGCGAAGAACCUUACCAGCCCUUGACAUGUCCAGGACCGGUCGCAGAGACGUGACCUUCUCUUCGGAGCCUGGAGCACAGGUGCUGCAUGGCUGUCGUCAGCUCGUGUCGUGAGAUGUUGGGUUAAGUCCCGCAACGAGCGCAACCCUCGCCCUUAGUUGCCAUCAUUUAGUUGGGCACUCUAAGGGGACUGCCGGUGAUAAGCCGGAGGAAGGUGGGGAUGACGUCAAGUCCUCAUGGCCCGUACGGGCUGGGCUACACACGUGCUACAAUGGCGGUGACAGAGGGAAGCAAGAGCGCAAGCUUUAGCUAAUCUCAAAAAGCCGUCUCAGUUCGGAUUGGGGUCUGCAACUCGACCCCAUGAAGUCGGAAUCGCUAGUAAUCGUGGAUCAGCACGCCACGGUGAAUACGUUCCCGGGUCUUGUACACACCG
rnacentral:rRNA from 1 species